GACGAACGCUGGCGGCGUGCUUAACACAUGCAAGUCGAACGCUGUAGCUCAGCUUUUGUUGGGUGGAUGAGUGGCGAACGGGUGAGUAACACGUGAGUAACCUGCCCCCUUCUUUGGGAUAACGCCCGGAAACGGGUGCUAAUACUGGAUAUUCACUGGUCUUCGCAUGGGGGUUGGUGGAAAGGGUUUUUCUGGUGGGGGAUGGGCUCGCGGCCUAUCAGCUUGUUGGUGGGGUGAUGGCCUACCAAGGCUUUGACGGGUAGCCGGCCUGAGAGGGUGACCGGUCACAUUGGGACUGAGAUACGGCCCAGACUCCUACGGGAGGCAGCAGUGGGGAAUAUUGCACAAUGGGCGCAAGCCUGAUGCAGCGACGCCGCGUGAGGGAUGGAGGCCUUCGGGUUGUGAACCUCUUUCGCUCAUGGUCAAGCCGCAACAAUGGUUGUGGUGAGGGUAGUGGGUAAAGAAGCGCCGGCUAACUACGUG
rnacentral:rRNA from 1 species